rnacentral:lncRNA from 1 species
CUCGUCGCCAUUUUGUUUUUGGUGGUUUUUGUCUGGCUUCUUUACCGCAACCUGUUUUAUCAGCAAAGUCUUUAUAACCUGUAUUUUGUGCUGACCUCCUAUCUCAUCCUGUGACUUAGAAUGCCUUAACAACUGUCUGGAAUGCAGCCCGGUAUGCAUGGAAUUCUAUCUCUAUCCCUCCAAGAACUUUGUUUAAAUAAUUUUGCUUAAGAGGAAUGAAAUGUCCUUUUCUGUCAAGCUAUAUGCAGAUAUUCCAGCAGAGGAUCCUGAUACCAAAACGGAUUGCAGAGCCACAGGUUGAAAAUAGCAGAGACUCCAUGGUUCCCUCAAUGAUUGCAUGGAACAAUAACACAUGAUCCCUGUGAUGAUCUGUGGAGUGGCUGCAGCACCUGUGUUUCAGCCUGAAGAAUGGGCACAGAUAUUUCAUGAUUCUGAAGAAGAAUUGGAGGUGAGACUUGAGAAAAUGGAGAAAAAGAUAUGCUUUGGAUUUUCUUGAAGACUAGAAGCUUUCUUAACCAUCCACCACCUUGUUGACUGGUUAUUAUUCUCUCUACCUUCUGUGAAACAAACUGAUGGAUACUAAUGGCACAAUUACACUUAUAGCUAGUCAGUUGCAUAGUUUAUGCACAUAGUUCUGCUUCCAGUGUUUAGUAAUGAGUUAAACAUUUUGGCUAUAUUUGUCUCUGAAGCUAUAAUUUCAAUUAAUCAUUAUGUAUAGCAAUAAUAACAAGUAAAACAAAAAGAAGAAUUUUUUGUUUCUAUGGUAAUUAUGUUGGGUGCUUUGGAUCCUCCCAAUAAAGUUGACUUCCUAAAAUAAUUACACUUGAAUUAGGUAUAGAGAAGCUAAUUGUAACAAAUUGAAAGUUACUGUAAAUCUUCUAAUCGUAGUUCUCUGCAAGUGUACUUAAGUUAUUGCUCCACUUGAAAUAAAUGAAAACUGGAAAUCUGAGGUGAUGAAUUAUGGGUCCCUUUUAUGUAAGAAAGAUGACAAGGAAAUCUAAUCUGCUGAGUUAUACUAAAAUAAAAUACCUUGGCCUGGGAUCAAAUAUAGGUGAAAGAAUUAACAUUUAUGUUUUUUAAUUAAGAUAAAAUGUACAAGUUUUAUGUACAUAUUUUAUGAUUUCCUGAUAUAACAAAAAGUGUUGAUAAAAGCACCCAAUACUGAUUCUAAUGACAUUUGAUUAGCAUUAAAGAGUUGCUAUUAUUA